CCCAUCCUAGCUCAAUGGUAGAGCACUCGGCUGUAGACCGAGUGGUUCCUGGUUCGAGUCCGGGGGAUGGGA
rnacentral:tRNA from 1 species